rnacentral:rRNA from 1 species
AGCAGCCGCGGUAAUUCCAGCUCCAAUAGCGUAUAUUAAAGUUGUUGCAGUUAAAAAGCUCGUAGUUGAAUUUCGGGAUCAAUAUAUCGGUCGUGCCUUGGUACGUACUGGUAUCAUUGGUUUCUCCUUUCUGACGAACCAUGAUGUCAUUAAUUUGGUGUUAUGGGAAGUUAGGACUGUUACUUUGAAAAAAUUAGAGUGUUUAAAGCAGGCUUUAGCUUGAAUACAUUAGCAUGGAAUAAUGAAAUAGGACGUUCGAACCUAUUUUGUUGGUUUCUAGGAUCAACGUAAUGAUUAAUAGGGAUAGUUGGGGGCAUUAGUAUUCAAUUGUCAGAGGUGAAAUUCUUGGAUUUAUUGAAGACUAACUACUGCGAAAGCAUUUGCCAAGGAUGUUUUCAUUAAUCAAGACGAAAGUUAGGGGAUCGAAGACGAUCAGAUACCGUCGUAGUCUUAACCAUAAACUAUGCCGACUAGGGAUCGGAUGAUGUUAAUUUUUUAAUGUACUCAUUCGGCGCCUUAC